AAAAAAAGAAAAAAGAAAGAAAAAAGAAAGAAAGAAAAAAGAAAGAAAAAAGAAAAAACAAAAGAAUGGACCUCGGUCCUUAUGCAAAGCUUCCACUGGUCCUGUCCCAGGCUGAUCUUGAAGAGGGUCGCGGCAACACCCAUGUCCCGUUCCAAGCCUCGCUGUGUAAGUAGGAAACCACACUGACAACAUAGAUAGGCCAUUAGCAUGCCCUCAAAACAACGUACAAAACUUUUAUAGUCUGAAUGAUUUUAAUUACAGAAAUAUGUUUAUGAAUUUGUCUUUUUUAAUUUUAAUUUUCUUUAACAUUAAUUUAUUUCAAAGAUGUGAAACCUUCCCCUUGAAAAAUAAUUUCUGGAGACUUCAGAUUUUAUAAUUUGUUGGUUUUUCUGUCUCAGGUCCGAGUGUAGCAGUACAGCCUCGUCCAGAACCAGGAUAAGUCCACUCCUCGGCUGUUACUGAGGAAGGUCCCACCGAUGUUCAGCCCCUCACGUUUCUCCUCCCCCAAGCUCAACCAGGUAAGUCACUCUCACUCCUCUUCUGUCUCUCCCUCUUUCUCUCCCUCUCCUCCUGUCUCUCAAAGAAAAAAAGAAAGAAAAAAGAAAGAAAAAAAGAAAAAAGAAAGAAAAAAAGAAAAAAAAGAAAGAAAGAAAAAAGAAAAAACAAGAAAGAAAGGAAAAAUAAAAAAGAAAGAAAAAAAAAAAGAAAGAAAAAAAGAAAAGAAAGAAAAAAGAAAGAAAGAAAAAAGAAAAAAAAGAAAGAAAAAAAGAAAAAAGAAAGAAAGAACGGACCUCGGUCCUUGUGCAAAGCUUCCACUGGUCCUGUCCCAGGCCGAUCUUGAAGAGGGUCGCGGCAACACCCAUGUCCCGUUCCAAGCCUCGCUGUGUAAGUAGGAAACCACACUGACAACAUAGAUAGGCCAUUAGCAUGCCCUCAAAACAACGUACAAAACUUUUAUAGUCUGAAUGAUUUUAAUUACAGAAAUAUGUUUAUGAAUUUGUCUUUUUUAAUUUUAAUUUUCUUUAACAUUAAUUUAUUUCAAAGAUGUGAAACCUUCCCCUGGAAAAAUAAUUUCUGCAGACUUCAGAUUUUAUAAUUUGUUGGUUUUUCUGUCUCAGGUCCGAGUGUAGCAGUACAGCCUCGUCCAGAACCAGGAUAAGUCCACUCCUCGGCUGUUACUGAGGAAGGUCACCGAUGUUCGGCCCUCCACGUUUCUCCUCCCCCAAGCUCAACCAGGUAAGUCACUCUCACUCCUCUUCUGUCUCUCCCUCUUUCUUUCCCUCUCCUCCUGUCUCUCAAAGAAAAAAAGAAAAAAGAAAGAAAAAAGAAAGAAAAAAAGAAAGAAAAAAAAGAAAGAAAGAAAAAAGAAAAAGAAAGAAAAAAAAGAUAAAAAGAAAAAAGAAAGAAAAAAAGAAAAAAGAAAGAAAAAAGAAAGAAGGAAAAAAAGAAAGAAAGAAAAAAAAAAGAAAGAAAGAAAGAAAAAAAGAAAGAAAGAAAAAAGAAAGAAAGAAAAAGAAAGAAAAAAGAAAGAAAAAAGAAAAAAAGAAAAAAAAGAAAAAACAAGAAAGAAAGAAAAAAAGAAAAAAAAGAAAAAAGAAAGAAAAAAGAAAGAAAGAAAAAAGAAAGAAAAAAAGAAAAAAGAAAAAAGAAAGAAAAAAGAAAGAAAGAACGGACCUCGGUCCUUGUGCAAAGCUUCCACUGGUCCUGUCCCAGGCCGAUCUUGAAGAGGGUCGCGGCAACACCCAUGUCCCGUUCCAAGCCUCGCUGUGUAAGUAGGAAACCACACUGACAACAUAGAUAGGCCAUUAGCAUGCCCUCAAAACAACGUACAAAACUUUUAUAGUCUGAAUGAUUUUAAUUACAGAAAUAUGUUUAUGAAUUUGUCUUUUUUAAUUUUAAUUUUCUUUAACAUUAAUUUAUUUCAAAGAUGUGAAACCUUCCCCUGGAAAAAUAAUUUCUGCAGACUUCAGAUUUUAUAAUUUGUUGGUUUUUCUGUCUCAGGUCCGAGUGUAGCAGUACAGCCUCGUCCAGAACCAGGAUAAGUCCACUCCUAGGCUGUUAAUGAGGAAGGUCCCGCCGAUGGACGGCCCUCCACGUUUCUUCUCCCCCACUCUCCCCCUGUCCUCUCCCCUCUACCCUCUUCUCUCCACAUUCCUCCCCAACCCAGCAGCGGCAUGGUGGCUGUCUAACAUGAGGCUGGUCCUGCCCAAGGUUUCUGCCUGUUAAAAGGAAGUUUUUCCUUGCCACUGCUACUCAUGUUAGUUGAGAUGGGCCAAAACCCAUCUUAGGUUGGUUCUUGAUCAUCAAACAAUGAGCGUGGUCUAGACCUGCUCUUGUUCCUUGAAAAGCGUCUUGAGAUGAAGACUGUUGUGAAUUGGUAUGGAGCCAGAUCAGGCUCCAUAAAUUGGUGCUAUAUAAAUAAAAUUUGAUUUGAAUUGAUUUUUAUCAGAGCAAUUUCUGAGUUACAUGAAUGAUCCUGAUCCUGUGUCUUCUGCCACUCAGCAAAAACAUAAAAAGAAAGAAAAAAAGAAAGAAAGACCUUUUAAUCGUGUUUGAUUUAUUAACAGUAUUGUGUGAAGGAAAAAAAAAGUCUUUUUAGGGAUGCCGCAGGAUUUCAUGGUUUUAUUCAUGCUGAUAUGACUGAAUGUUGAUAAAAGCAGUGAUGGAUUCUUAUAUCCGAGCUAAAAAAUAUCAAUCCUGCUGAGUUUUCCUGGUUUUCCCUCAGGCUGUUUUUCACUGGAAUUGGUUCACAGCCUGGUCUCUGUACAUUUUGUUGCCUAUUUUGGAGGCUUGUUGUUAGCUGGAAUAGGUGUGCUGAUACAAAAUUGUUUGGUAAAUCACUUUCUAAGUAACUGCACAAUUAUAAUUUAGAAAAAUAAGAGUAAAGUGGGAAAUUUAUGUAAAAUCUUCAUAUUACUUGACUGAAUUAAAUGUUAUUUUUAUGCAGCUGACAUCCUUAUUCACAUAUCUGUAUGCAAGUGGAGUUAUAAAUCAGUUCUAUGUCAUGCCAACAUCACUGUAGGAUAAGAUUCAUUCUAAUCUUAUAUCAUAAGUCUCAGUCUUAUCUUAAUGUACCAUAAGCAGAGCACCUUUCAGCAUUUAGAAAGUUAGAGUGGCACAGAAGAAACCCUCUCACUAAGAAGGCAGAAAACCUGGAGCAGACCAUGACCCCUGCUAAAAAGCCAUAAGAUAGAGACAAAAACGAAGGAGAAAUGGUUCAAAGUUCCUCAGCAUCCCUGGGUCUACCAGAGAGUUAUCUUGAACACAUAGAGUUAAGUCAAUUGUUUUUCUGAUCGGAGCAGCUGGUCCAGCUCAAAGGACACUGGGACACACAGGUGAUUGUACACAGGUGCUUUAAGGUAAUCUGAAAUUGGCCCAGUAAGCUGCUGAGGUUGUUAAAACUACAACCUUUUUCUCCAUGUGCACGGUGUAUGUAGAAGUUACAACUGUAAUUGU
rnacentral:lncRNA from 1 species